AAAAAAAAAAAAACAGGCCUGGAGACCCAAGUUGCCUGGAACCCUGACAUGUUCCCAAAGCAGGAAGAGGACUGCAAGGAAGAGGCCAAGCCUGUGCAGGCCUGGGUACAAGGUGCGCCUCUGGGGACAGACCCUGACAGGGAAGAGAAACCACCUAAAGAUGCUCUCCCACCACCACCCCAGCCCCAGGAUUCUCCAGGAGAGCCAGGGCGCAUGGUCACCUUAGAGGUCCUCUGCGUGGUCAAGGAGGAAAAGUUUUGGAGAAGUGGAGAGCCAGGGUGCAAGGCCAUCUUGCAGGUCCUCUGCGGGGCCAAGGAGGAGCGGCUUUGAGGAGGUUGCCACCGCCCCUGCCCUUGCUCAGGAUCAACGGUGCCACUUUGAAGUAGUCCCCCCUGAAGAACAAGUUUGCUGUGGGGAGUGGAGCCGGCUCAUCUCUGUCUGCUACUUUGAGUCUGAAAACUACUGGUGGCUGAGCAAGCACAUUAAGCCAAUUCGCUCCACAGUCCUCUGCUUGGGCUGGCACCCCAACAACAUUUUGCUUGCAGCAGGGUCAUGUGACUUCAAAUGCAGCAACCUACAUAUACAUCUAUGGGGAUGUCUCAGCUCAGUUGUUUUCAUUACAGGAAGCUCAGCAACUAUAUGGAGGCAGACAUAAUCUUUGGUACAUUCAUCCCCAUUCACAUCCCACUCGAUCUACCCCAGAAUGUCCAGAACCUUUUUGACAGAGAGCCAAGUCGUCUAUGGAACACCUUUCUGUGUGUCUGGAGCCCAAGGAUGCCAGAAGGGAUCUUAUGAACUGGAUCUACACGUUUUGAGGACGACCCGGUGGGCACUGAGAACUUAUUGAGAAAACUUAUUAAGAGAACUUAUUAAGAGAGGUCUAGCUAUAGAUAGAUUUUCGGGCAUCUGUCUAUACCACAAAGAGACACUUUGAUACUAGGAGUGCAUAUAAACUGGUUAGAAUUUUUGUAAGUAAGUAUGAAAUUGAAUCAUUACAAAAGAAAAGGAUAUGAAGCUCUUACUUGUAUUCCUAGUGAACACCUUAGUGACUCUUCCAUAACCCAGUGCUUCCAUGAACCGAAACAUCAUAAGCACCUAUGUAUUCAGUACUCAUAGGAUACAAACAAGUGACAUUUUAUGCACACAUUGUACACCAAAAUAUUAGAAACAGUUAAAUUUCUGAGAGUUUGGGAGCCAUUCUGUGAUGUUCCUGAGUUGUCAAGGGCUUAUUCACACAAGAUUUACAUGUCACAGGAAAAGUGCUAGAAAAGUGCUAGAACCUCUAGGUUCCUGUAUAUGAUAAAGAUUUUCUGAGAAAAAUAUACUGACAAUACCCAUCAUUCUGUUCCUCUGGUUUAGAUGGAAAUGGAGAAACUAUCAAUAUUUGCUGGCCUUAUACUUUGCCAUUGAAGAGAUCAAUAAGGACUCAAACCUGCUUCCCAAUAUGACCUUGGGUUUCCACAUCUACAGUGCCUUUAAUUCUAACAAAAGAACCUUGGAGGGCCCUCUGAUGUGGCUGACAGGAAGGACUGAGUAUAUCCCUAACUACAAGUGCAACACUCAACACAAAGCUCUAGGAAUCCUUUCAGGAAACAAGCCAGAAUUUUCUGCUGCAAUUGCAACACUUUUGGAGCUCUACAAUGUCCCACAAGUAAGUUAGAAACAUAUUUUUAAGCACAAUCACAUCUUAGACCUGACUGAAACAAACAAACAAACAAACAGUAACAAAACAAAUACAAGAAAACAGAGAAAUGGAUUAUGUUUAUUGUAGGCAGGUUUCAAAUAGCUCUGAACGAAUUAUUUUUUAUAUGGCAAUAGUUAACAGAUAACAGAGUGUGGUAAAAAGCAUGGUCAGUAAAUUCUGGGAGUUUCUAACCAGAUCACUUAGUAGUAUCCAUGAUUCUGUCUCCAAACAAUGGAUGAUGUACUGCAGAUACUCAGUCUGCAUUUGAUCAUAAAUCAAAUUCUAUAGCAAAGAUACCCAACUACCCAAUCUAGCAUACAUACAUCUCAAAAUUCUUACAGCUGUUAAUAUCUGACAAAUGGAAAAAGAAAGUCCAGGACAUGUAACUAAAUUUGGAACAAUAUUUAAUGCUAUCACCAAUGAAAAUCUUUCAAGGAAUUAAUGAUCUCAUUCAAGAAAGUAGAUCUCAGAAUAGCACCCACAGAGACCAACCACUUAGUGGUAUCAUCACAACCGACUCUUGCCAGGCUACACUGAAGAAAUGCAUCUAUCAGCAGGUAUUACUACAAACAGAGAAAAUACUUGGUGAGCACAAGAGUCAGCAAUAAUGAAGAUUGAAAAACCCACACAGUAACUCUCAUUGUUAUCACUCAGUUAAACAGUUCAUAAAUGUAUGUUAACCCAA